rnacentral:rRNA from 1 species
AUUGAACGCUGGCGGAAUGCUUUACACAUGCAAGUCGAACGGCAGCACGGACUUCGGUCUGGUGGCGAGUGGCGAACGGGUGAGUAAUAUAUCGGAACGUGCCCAGUCGUGGGGGAUAACGUAGUGAAAAUUAAGCUAAUACCGCAUACGAUCUAUGGAUGAAAGCGGGGGAUCGCAAGACCUCGCGCGAUUGGAGCGGCCGAUAUAAGAUUAGGUAGUUGGUGAGGUAAAGGCUCACCAAGCCGACAAUCUGUAGCUGGUCUGGUAGGACGACCAGCCACACUGGAACUGGGACACGGUCCAGACUCCUACGGGAGGCAGCAGUUGGGAAUUUUGGACAAUGGACGCAAGUCUGAUCCAGCCAUUCCGCGUGCAGGACGAAGGCCUUCGGGUUGUAAACUGCUUUUGUACAGAACGAAAAGGUCUCUAUUAAUACUAGGGGCUCAUGACGGUACUGUAAGAAUAAGCACCGGCUAACUACGUGCCAGCAGCCGCCGUAAUAC